GACGAACGCUGGCGGCGUGCCUAAUACAUGCAAGUCGAACGCACAGUUUAUACCGUAGCUUGCUACACCAUAGACUGUGAGUUGCGAACGGGUGAGUAACGCGUAGGUAACCUGCCUGGUAGCGGGGGAUAACUAUUGGAAACGAUAGCUAAUACCGCAUAAUAUUAAUUAUUGCAUGAUAAUUAAUUGAAAGGUGCAAUUGCACCACUACCAGAUGGACCUGCGUUGUAUUAGCUAGUAGGUGAGGUAACGGCUCACCUAGGCGACGAUACAUAGCCGACCUGAGAGGGUGAUCGGCCACACUGGGACUGAGACACGGCCCAGACUCCUACGGGAGGCAGCAGUAGGGAAUCUUCGGCAAUGGACGAAAGUCUGACCGAGCAACGCCGCGGGAGUGAAGAAGGUUUUCGGAUCGUAAAGCUCUGUUGUAAGAGAAGAACGGGUGUGAGAGUGGAAAGUUCACACUGUGACGGUAGCUUACCAGAAAGGGACGGCUAACUACGCG
rnacentral:rRNA from 1 species